AGAGGGACUACAAAGGCCGCUCCCGCACCGACGCACCCCUCACUCCCUGUCCCCCACCACGCGAUGGCCGGGUUUCAUGGUGCGAGUAUGUGGCAGCUGUGUUCUGACCCAGGAAAAGGGCCUGAGGACCAGUCCAAGAGGCUAGGAGGGCAGAGUGGAAGGGAAGGAGCCAGCUUGCUGACGAUGCUGUACAGAGCUUCCCCAUCUCUGGACUGACUGGCUGCUGUGGAAGGUAAAUUCUUGCUGGCCUCCCUGCACAAUUUGUGUUUGCCAUCGGAUUUCCAUUCUUUUCAGCCACCUUUGGAGACCCCUUGAUUUCAGGGAGAGGCCAUUCUUCAGCUACAGUGAAUGAAUGUGAUUGACUAAGGCAGUGAUGGAAUCUUAAGACUUUGAGGUGACUCCAUGACCUAGAGAGGAAAGGGGAGGGCCCAGGGAAGUGAAGUACUUUCUUGGCCACCCUCCCUUGGAAGUGACCAGGUGACAGUUUUGAAGUAAGUGAGAUGUCAACAGAAUCCUGUAGGAGUUUUCUGUGAACAUUUUGCUUUCCUGAUGGAAGGGGCAAAGGAGGUCAGAAAGUUUGAAAGAAGAGCAUGACAGUUUCCCUCAGCAUUGAUUCAAUACCAGCCUGUGAGACCUACUCUCCUUCCUCAAGUGGAGAAUGUCCAGUGUGGAGGGAGGGAGUCGGUGAACAGUUUCUUCAACCAAGGAAAUCUUCAUUGCUCAAGGAAACAUCUAAUGUGAGAUUAAAGCAUGAGACUUUACCCAGCACUUCCUGUUUUGGUCAUUCAUCUGGGGACGCUGGCUCUUUAUUUUCUACAAGAAGUUGCAUGAAAAAGACAUGGAAACAAACAAGAAUAAAACAAGAAGAGAAAAUAAUGAGGCUGCAUCACUGGGAGGAAAGAUCUGACUCCGGCCUCCCAGCAGGAACUGUCUUAUUGGAGAGCAAUCCAAAGAGAAUACACAAUGGGAGCCCAUGCUUCUUAUCUUGAUGAAAUAGCCUCUAAAUAAUAAAUAAAUAAACACGCACAUAUCAUCCCAGUCGCAGAAACUUGAUUAUUGACUUUGGCAAUCCUUUCUCCAUCUCUUUGUGCCAAUAAAGUUAUUACAAUUGAAUCGAGAGAGGCAGACGCACAAGCAUUGCCGAGACAAGAUGCUGAGUAGUUGAAAUCAAUGACUUGCAGGGCUGAUCUCCUGCCAAGGGCUGCACCAGCUCCCGGGAGGAAUCCGCCACUCUGGCCAGUG